ACGGCUCAGUAACACGUGGAUAACCUGCCCUUAGGUCUGGCAUAACCCCGGGAAACUGGGGAUAAUUCCGGAUAGAUCAUAGAUGCUGGAAUGCCCUGUGAUCCAAAGCUUUUGUGCCUAAGGAUGGGUCUGCGGUCUAUCAGGUUGUAGUGGGUGUAAUGUACCUACUAGCCUACGACGGAUACGGGUUGUGGGAGCAAGAGCCCGGAGAUGGAUUCUGAGACAUGAAUCCAGGCCCUACGGGGCGCAGCAGGCGCGAAAACUUUACAAUGCGGGAAACCGCGAUAAGGGGACACCGAGUGCCAGCAUCCUAUGUUGGCUGUCCAUAUGUCUAAAUCACAUGUGUUAGCAAGGGCCGGGCAAGACCGGUGCCAGCCGCCGCGGUAACACCGGCGGCCCGAGUGGUGGCCACUAUUAUUGGGUCUAAAGGGUCCGUAGCCGGUUUGGUCAGUCUUCCGGGAAAUCUGACGGCUCAACCGUUAGGCUUUCGGGGGAUACUACCAGGCUUGGGACCGGGAGAGGUAAGAGGUACUACGGGGGUAGGAGUGAAAUCUUGUAAUCCCUGUGGGACCACCAGUGGCGAAGGCGUCUUACCAGAACGGGUCCGACGGUGAGGGACGAAAGCUGGGGGCACGAACCGGAUUAGAUACCCGGGUAGUCCCAGCUGUAAACUAUGCUCGCUAGGUGUCAGGGACGGUGCGACCGUUUCUGGUGCCGCAGGGAAGCCGUGAAGCGAGCCACCUGGGAAGUACGGUCGCAAGGCUGAAACUUAAAGGAAUUGGCGGGGGAGCAC
rnacentral:rRNA from 1 species